rnacentral:misc_RNA from 1 species
UCCGGUUUGGCACCGGCAGUCCCCCCAGAGUCCCCGGCAGGCUUGUUAAAGGCCUCCGCUGGCAACUGGGAGCAGGGGUAAACCACAUGCUCCACCGCUUGUGCGGGCCCCCGUCAAUUCCUUUGAGUUUCAGCCUUGCGGCCGUACUCCCCAGGCGGGGCACUUAAUGCGUUAGCGCCGGCACCCGGAGGGUCGCUCCCCCGGGCACCUAGUGCCCAUCGUUUACGGCGUGGACUAC